rnacentral:rRNA from 1 species
AGUGAACGCUGGCGGUAGGCCUAACACAUGCAAGUCGAACGGCAGCACAGGAGAGCUUGCUCUCUGGGUGGCGAGUGGCGGACGGGUGAGGAAUACAUCGGAAUCUACUCUGUCGUGGGGGAUAACGUAGGGAAACUUACGCUAAUACCGCAUACGACCUACGGGUGAAAGCAGGGGACCUUCGGGCCUUGCGCGAUUGAAUGAGCCGAUGUCGGAUUAGCUAGUUGGCGGGGUAAAGGCCCACCAAGGCGACGAUCCGUAGCUGGUCUGAGGGGAGGAUCAGCCACAGUGGAACUGAGACACGGUCCAGACUCCUACGGGAGGCAGCAGUGGGGAAUAUUGGACAAUGGGCGCAAGCCUGAUCCAGCCAUACCGCGUGGGUGAAGAAGGCCUUCGGGUUGUAAAGCCCUUUUGUUGGGAAAGAAAUCCAGCUGGCUAAUACCCGGUUGGGAUGACGGUACCCAAAGAAUAAGCACCGGCUAACUUCGUGCCAGCAGCCGCCGUAA